rnacentral:rRNA from 1 species
UACGUAGGGGGCAAGCGUUGUCCGGAUUUAUUGGGCGUAAAGAGCGUGUAGGCGGCCAGAUAGGUCUGGUGUGAAAACUUGAGGCUCAACCUCAAGAGGUCACUGGAAACCAUUUGGCUAGAGUCCGGAAGAGGAGAGUGGAAUUCCCAGUGUAGCGGUGAAAUGCGCAGAUAUUGGGAGGAACACCAGCGGCGAAGGCGGCACUCUGGGCUGGUACUGACGCUGAGGAGCGAAAGCGUGGGUAGCGAACAGG